AACUCAAAUGAAUUGACGGGGGCCCGCACAAGCGGAGGAACAUGUGGUUUAAUUCGAUGAUACGCGAGGAACCUUACCUGGGCUUAAAUGUAGGUUGCAUAACUUAGAAAUAGGUUUUCCCUUCGGGGCUACUUACAAGGUGCUGCAUGGUUGUCGUCAGCUCGUGCCGUGAGGUGUCGGGUUAAGUCCCAUAACGAGCGCAACCCCUAUCGUUAGUUGCCAGCGGGUCAAGCCGGGGACUCUAGCGAGACUGCCACCGUAAGGUGAGAGGAAGGUGGGGAUGACGUCAAAUCAGCACGGCCCUUAUGUCCAGGGCUACACACGUGUUACAAUGGCCGAUACAAAGGGCAGCUACCGGGCGACCGGAUGCUAAUCUCAAAAGUCGGUCCCAGUUCGGAUUGGAGUCUGCAACCCGACUCCAUGAAGUUGGAUUCGCUAGUAAUCGCGCAUCAGCCAUGGCGCGGUGAAUACGUUCCCGGGCCUU
rnacentral:rRNA from 1 species